AGGGAGCCCGUCACAGCCCCUGUUCUGGACAGAAGGACAGACGUCCAAGGGAAACGGGCAUCGUUUCUCAGCUUGGCCACCUUCCAUGUGAUGGAGCAAUGUAGCCGAGUUGUGGGUUGACUUAGGCUUGCAUCACCGCCCUGACGCAGGUUGCAUCUGCAGUCAUCUGGAACUGAAAACAUACCUGAACUGAUAAAAGAUGCUGUGGAAAUAUGGAUCUCUGGGGCCUUGGCAAGACGCUUUUCCAUAUCCCCUAUCUUUAUUGCCUGGUCCUCUGGAGGACAAAAGAGUGAGAAUCAGCAGUGUGUCAUUUAUCCUGCAAACAGUUUGAGAACUGCCUUGACAGCCAGUGGAAGAAAAUAGUGUGAUGUGGUCACAGCAAGCACGUGUUCUUUCUAACAAUUUACGAUUGCACUAUGAUCCCAAUGAGAGUGAUGCUCAAACCUCCCUCUGAUUACCUCUGUUCUUUUCUCUUGUGGUAACACCAUUGUUUCUUUCCAACGCAGGAGUGUUUAUGCAGAAAUGCCAAGAUUCUCCAUGCAGAUUAAAGUAGGUUUACAAAUUAAGGAAAAGCUGGUAUGGAACAGGAGGACAACAAUCCCAGCAUUUUGCAUUUACUCGUAAUCAAAAUCCUGUCUUUGGAAUGUGUUAUGUCAGAUAUACACUAGGUGAGGCCUAUGAGGAUUUUCCUUGUGUAACAGCAAGAGUUAGCCCUAGCGUAUCACACUGUUCUAAAAAUGGUGUCCAGUAAGCAAUAGGUGGCCUCUCUUGGAAAAAAAUCAGGAAAAAAGUUGGUGAGACCUAGAUCCUCUGCAAUGUCACUUUCACAAUUGAGUGACUGGCAAACAAA